rnacentral:rRNA from 1 species
AUUGAACGCUGGCGGCAUGCCUUACACAUGCAAGUCGAACGGUAACAGGUCUUCGGAUGCUGACGAGUGGCGAACGGGUGAGUAAUACAUCGGAACGUGCCCGAUCGUGGGGGAUAACGGAGCGAAAGCUUUGCUAAUACCGCAUACGAUCUACGGAUGAAAGCAGGGGACCGCAAGGCCUUGCGCGGACGGAGCGGCCGAUGGCAGAUUAGGUAGUUGGUGGGAUAAAAGCUUACCAAGCCGACGAUCUGUAGCUGGUCUGAGAGGACGACCAGCCACACUGGGACUGAGACACGGCCCAGACUCCUACGGGAGGCAGCAGUGGGGAAUAUUGGUCAAUGGGCGCAAGCCUGAACCAGCCAUCCCGCGUGAAGGAAGAAUGCGCUACGCGUUGUAAACUUCUUUUCCAGGGGGAGAAUAAUCCUGUCGUGACAGGACUUGACGGUACUCUGGGAAUAAGCAUCGGCUAACUCCGUGCCAGCAGCCGAC